AGAUAACUCCCCCUAUAGCCCCCAAUCUCCCUAUACAGCACAUUCCAGAGUCCUCAUGGUACAGAAUAGCAAACACCAUCUGUUCUUUUUAACCCAUUAGACAUCAUACCUUAAUAUGUAUUUGUAUAGGAACAUAUAUAAUAUUCUACACUGUUCUUAUCCAUGUACAGGGUCCCAAAUUAUUUACAUAUCAUUUGUUUAGUAACCCACAGAAACAUAUAUGAAACUGUCACAACCUUAAUACAAUAUAAAGCAUUUCAUUAGACUCACACCCAUAUCAAAACGGGUUUCUGGUGCAAAGAGGAAGAAUUACUGUUACACUAAUUUAUUAUUUUGGUGUGCGAAGUAAAAGAAUUAUGCAUAGAUAUUUUAACAAGUGUACAUACGGCAAUAAAAAGGAUGCGGAUGUGCAUUAAAAUGUCGAGGAUACUGCACGUUUUAUCUUAUAAGGUGAAUGAGACAAGUGUGAUUUAGGUCAGGAGCAAGAGAUUCGACUAAGCAUGUUAGCUAACUUCACUUGGAAAAAAAACCCACAAGGGUAAAGAGUCAGGCUAGGUCACAUAGCUAUAAGAAAUAAAAAAACAGAGUAAGUUCCCUAGGAGUUGUCCAAAACACUUCUCUACUCCGAAACAGUCAGGCAUCCCCCGUUACACUAAUUUAUGCAGUUUAUUAUAGGCUUCUGUAAGGUAAUUUAAACCUUUUUCUCCCAACAAUAUGUAGAGAUGAGCUAACACAUGUUUGCAUGUGCAAAGCACAAUGUAACCCAUAAAGACCCAAUCCCACCCCAUUGUUCUAUAUCUAGUACAGGCUGGUGUAACUGUACCUACACAUCCAUACAUUCAUGUUCCAUUCUAUUGUUUUUUUAUUAGGAAGCUGCAUUCACAGAAAUACCAUCAGAAAAUCAUCUCAAAUCCUAGUGUUGCUAAAUUAUAAACAUAAUUUUCUUAUGGCAUCAAGGCUCCCAGAGGUUUCAGUGGUUUAGGGUUACCUUAAACAUUGUUACUAGAGAGUUAAUAUACUGACUGGUAUUUCUGUUUCCCAAUAUACACAUUGGUAUGUGGAAUUGAAAGUGUUUUAUCAUUCACUUCAUCUUUUUCAACACUUCUGUUUCCGGAUCUCACGCAGCAAGAAAAAUCCCCCUGACCCUUGGGUCACAUACUGUAAAAGUGGUUGAGUAAUAAAACGGUUCUCUUGUACGGGUGUACAAGCAUAAAGACAAGAUGCCAAGGAUAUGUAACUAUUAUUGAAG